rnacentral:rRNA from 1 species
AGAUUGAACGCUGGCGGCAGGCCUAACACAUGCAAGUCGAGCGGUAGAGAGGUGCUUGCAUCUCUUGAGGGCGGCGGACGGGUGAGUAAUGCCUAGGAAUCUGCCUAGUGGUGGGGGAUAACGUUCGGAAACGGACGCUAAUACCGCAUACGUCCUACGGGAGAAAGCGGGGGACCUUCGGGCCUCGCGCCAUUAGAUGAGCCUAGGUCGGAUUAGCUAGUUGGUGAGGUAAUGGCUCACCAAAGGCGACGAUCCGUAACUGGUCUGAGAGGAUGAUCAGUCACACUGGAACUGAGACGCGGUCCAGACUCCUAACGGGAGCAGCAGUGGGGGAAUAUUGGACAAU